rnacentral:rRNA from 1 species
UUCCGGUUGAUCCUUCAAGACCCGACUGCUAUCAGAGUGAGAUUAAGCCAUGCCAUUUAACGUAGCAAUACGUGGCGCACGGCUCAGUAACACGUAGUCAACAUGCCCAGAGGACGUGGAUAACCUCGGGAAACUGAGGAUAAACCGCGAUAGGUCAUCACUUCUGGAAUGGGUAAUGACUUAAAUCUAUAUGGCCCCUGGAUUGGACUGCGGCCGAUCAGGCUGUUGGUGAGGUAAUGGCCCACCAAACCUGUAACCGGUACGGGCUCUGAGAGGAGGAGCCCGGAGAUGGGCACUGAGACAAGGGCCCAGGCCCUAUGGGGCGCAGCAGGCGCGAAACCUCUGCAAUAGGCGAAAGCUUGACAGGGUUACUCUGAGUGAUUUCCGUUAAGGAGAUCUUUUGGCACCUCUAAAAAUGGUGCAGAAUAAGGGGUGGGCAAGUCUGGUGUCAGCCGCCGCGGUAAUACCAGCACCCCGAGUGGUCGGGACGAUUAUUGGGCCUAAAGCAUCCGUAGCCGGUUCUGCAAGUCCCCCGUUAAAUCCAGCUGCUCAACAGAUGGGCCGCGGAGGAUACUACAGAGCUAGGAGGCAGGAGAGGCAAGCGGUACUCAGUGGGUAGGGGUAAAAUCCGUUGAUCCAUUGAAGACCACCAGUGGCGAAGGCGGCUUGCCAGAAUGCGCUCGACGGUGAGGGAUGAAAGCUGGGGGAGCAAACCGGAUUAGAUACCCGGGUAGUCCCAGCCGUAAACGAUGCAGACUCGGUGAUGGGUUGGCUUCGCGCUAACCCAGUGCCGCAGGGAAGCCGUUAAGUCUGCCGCCUGGGUAGUACGGUCGCAAGACUGAAACUUAAAGGAAUUGGCGGGGGAGCA